UACGUAGGGUGCAAGCGUUGUCCGGAAUCAUUGGGCGUAAAGCGCGCGUAGGUGGCUUUGUAAGUCCGUUGUGAAAGUCAAAGGCUCAACCUUUGAAUGCCGAUGGAUACUGCGGAGCUAGAGUACGGAAGAGGCGAGUGGAAUUCCUGGUGUAGCGGUGGAAUGCGCAGAUAUCAGGAGGAACACCAAUAGCGAAGGCAGCUCGCUGGGACGUUACUGACGCUGAGGAGCGAAAGCGUGGGGAGCGAACAGG
rnacentral:rRNA from 1 species